rnacentral:ncRNA from 1 species
CUGGUUGAUCCUGCCAGUAGUCAUAUGCUUGUCUCAGAGAUUAAGUCAUACAUUUCUAAGUACGUACCUUAAAAAGGUGAAACCGCGAAUGGAUCAUUAAAUCAGCUAUGGUUCCAUAGAUCAUACAUACUACAUAGAUAACUGUAGUAAUUCUAGAGCUAAUACAUGCAAUUAUGCCCUGACCCGCAAGGGAACGGGUGCAUUAAUUAGAACAGAACCAUCCGGGGGCAGUUUCGGCUUUCUCUGUUGAAUUCUGUGAUGACUCUGGAUAACUUUAAUGGUCGCUUUUGGCCUUGCGUUAGCGACGGAUCUUUCAAAUGUCUGCCCUAUCAAUUUGUUGUUAGGUGAUCUACCUGCCAUGAUAAUAACGUGUAACGGGGAAUCAGGGUUCGAUUCCGGAGAGGGAGCCUGAGAAAUGGCUACCACAUCCAAGGAAGGCAGCAGGCGCGAAAACAUCAAGGAACAUCAGGUAGCAAUAUUAUAUAAACCCUAACCUUGUAGAGCUUAUACC